rnacentral:misc_RNA from 1 species
GAAAUGCGAUAAGUAAUGUGAAUUGCAGAAUUCAGUGAAUCAUCGAAUCUUUGAACGCACCUUGCGCUCCUUGGUAUUCCUUGGAGCAUGCCUGUUUGAGUAUCAUGAGAUCUUCAAAGUAAAUCUUUUGUUAACUCAAUUGGUUUCUACUUUGGUAUUGGAGGUCUUUGCAGCUUCACACCUGCUCCUCUUUGUUCAUUAGCUGGAUCUCAGUGUUAUGCUUGGUUCCACUCGGCGUGAUAAGUUAUCUAUCGCUGAGGACACUGUAAAAGGUGGCCAAGGUAAAUGCAGAUGAACCGCUUCUAAUAGUCCAUUGACUUGGACAAUACUUUUAUGAUCUGAUCUCAAAUCAGGUAGGACUACCGCUGAACUUAAGC